GCCUCAGCCACACCCCUCACA
rnacentral:miRNA from 1 species